rfam:Aureococcus anophagefferens unplaced genomic scaffold ATRANscaffold_4, whole genome shotgun sequence.
GGCCGUGUGGUCUAGUGGUAUGAUUCUCGCUUAGGGUGCGAGAGGUCCCGGGUUCAAUUCCCGGCGCGGCCC